rnacentral:rRNA from 1 species
CAAUAGCGUAUAUUAAAGUUGUUGCGGUUAAAAAGCUCGUAGUUGGAUUUCUGCCGAGGACGACCGGUCCGCCCUCUGGGUGUGUAUCUGGUUUGGCCUGGGCAUCUUCUUGGAGAACGUAGCUGCACUUGACUGUGUGGUGCGGUGUCCAGGACUUUUACUUUGAGGAAAUUAGGGUGUUUCAAGCAGGCACACGCUUUGAAUACAUUAGCAUGGAAUAAUAAGAUAGGACCUCGGUUCUAUUUGGUUGGUUUCUAGAGCUGAGGUAAUGAUUAAUAGGGAUAGUUGGGGGCAUUCGUAUUUAACUGUCAGACGUGAAAUUCUUGGAUUUGUUAAAGACGGACUACUGCGAAAGCAUUUGCCAAGGAUGUUUUCAUUGA